GCAGCGAUGGGUCCUACCUCCCACUUCAUCACCCCUCCAAAAAAAGUUGGUGAGAGGGAAGCAGACAACAGACUAGUUACUCAAAUAGAACGGAUGAAUUAACCUGUCCCUCAGCAACCAGAAAAACGACCUGGAAAUUGACAUUCUGAACUCUGCAGACCUUGCCUGAGGCAUCAUUCCUGAAAGGAAACCAGUCUGCUACGGAAGAUUGAUUGAAGAGAUGUAGAAAUCCAUUCACCUUCAUGCAGAGCCGUUCCACCUCCCAAGGAUGCCACCCAGUCGUCCUGUGCCUUCUUCAGUUUUCUACAAGGAGGUGUUUGGAAAAAAUCACACUCUUCUUGUUCCUUAAAGAAUCCAUAUGCACUCCUUACAUGAGCAUCCAGCAAAUAGAUGGGGAAGGGCACUAGAAAAGCAGCGGCUACAUUUUGGAAUGGCAAAAAAAGGAGAGUCCCUAAGGUUUCACUUCACUCAUCCCUGGAUAAAGGCUAUCAACGGCUCCAAGUUAUACCUCUAGGAGGAAGGAAAAUGAAUGCAUACCUGCCAGCUUUUCAUAGAUAAAAAUUGUGGCACAUGUAACCAAGCAACAUCAGAUUGUGGUCAAGACGAAAAACAUUCUUAAUGAGGAAGAACACACAAUCCAGGAGAGGCUGCAGCAGUUUGCUUUGGCCCAAGGCUGCUGGGAAGGGAAAGUUUACGCUUCAUCCUCUCCCUCCACCUCCAUUGAGAUAAUGGAGUGCAAACUUCUUCUGCAGUUUGGACUCAAUUUGAAGCAAUUGAAGCAAGCAGGGAAAAUAGAAGAGGUAGACCCAAAGUGGGCUAUGUUUAAAUCAUAUAAGAAGGUGAGUUAAUAAAGAUUGACUCUGCCAGUUCUGGAAGCUACGCGAAUGGCGCAGCAAUAAAUUUUCUCCUAAAGUUAAAUUCAAACCCAAAUUGUGUUUUCCCUCUUGGAGCCACAACAUCUACAUUGCUUGGAAGGAGUCUUCAUGUUGAUUUUGAGUAACAAAGCGCUCAGCAGGCUGGGAA